CACGUAGGCACCAAGCGUUAUCCGGAUUUAUUGGGCGUAAAGAGCUCGUAGGCGGUUCGGUAAGUCGGGUGUGAAACUCUGGGCUCAACCCAGAGAGGCCACCCGAUACUGCUGUGACUAGAGUGCGGAUAGGGGAGCGGGGAAUUCCGUGGUGUAGCGGUGAAAUGCGCAGAUAUCAGGAGGAACACCGGUGGCGAAGGCGGGGUCUCUGGGCAGUUAACUGACGCUGAGGAGCGAAAGCGUGGGGAGCGAACAGGG
rnacentral:rRNA from 1 species